CGCCGACGCCUACCCUAACUGCCCACGACGGUUUUCCUCCCCUCUCGCGACAAAUCCCUCGGCAACUUCUUCUCCUCCUCUUCAUUUCUUCUUCCCGAGCUCUGCCCUAACCUCCCUGGAGUCCGCCGCACGGAUUAGCGCCGACACUUCUUCCUCGCGCCAAGCAGCGUCGACCCGAGCCCUAGGUGCCACCGUCGCCUCCCGAAUUCCUUUCCCUCUUCUCUGGUCCGACGAGCCACCGCCGACCGAAGUCUUCUUCCUCUUCCUCCCUGUUCAAGCACUGCCGACGCACGGAGCACUGCCGACACCGUGCUCUAGCCGAGCCCUGCCGAAGCCGUGCCCUUGCACUGUCGCCGGCCACAGAAUAGGGUUUUCAAUCUGCUGCGGCUAAAUUGGUUUUCUGAUCAGUUGAGCGUCAACAGGAGCUUGGGAUUUAGUAACUUUGUGAUCCCCAGCAGCGGCUCUGAUCUUGUUUCAGCAGCCAACAUCUUUGAUUUUGGAUCAACAGUGAUACAUACGAUUUGAGGU